CAGAGGUCCCGAGCGUUGUUCGGAUUACUGGGCGUAAAGGGUGCGUAGGCGGUCGGAUAAGUCUGAUGUGAAAUCUCAGAGCUCAACUCUGAAACUGCAUUGGAUACUAUUCGGCUUGAGGUCUGGAGGGGGGACUGGAAUUCUCGGUGUAGCAGUGAAAUGCGUAGAUAUCGAGAGGAACACCAGUGGCGAAGGCGAGUCCCUGGACAGGUCCUGACGCUGAGGCACGAAAGCUAGGGGAGCAAACAGGAUUAGAUACCCUGGUAGUCCUAGCCGUAAACGGUGCGUAUUUGCUGUAAAAGGAAUCGACCCCUUUUGUGGCGUAGCAAACGCGUUAAAUACGCCGCCUGGGAAGUACGGUCGCAAGAUUA
rnacentral:rRNA from 1 species